rnacentral:rRNA from 1 species
UGCCAGCCGCCGCGGUAAUACGUAGGUGACAAGCGUUGUCCGGAUUUACUGGGCGUAAAGAGCGCGCAGGCGGUCGUUCAAGUCGAGUGUGAAAGCCCCCGGCUCAACUGGGGAGGGUCAUUCGAUACUGAUCGACUCGAAGGCAGGAGAGGGAAGUGGAAUUCCCGGUGUAGUGGUGAAAUGCGUAGAUAUCGGGAGGAACACCAGUGGCGAAGGCGACUUCCUGGCCUGUUCUUGACGCUGAGGCGCGAAAGUUAGGGGAGCAAACGGGAUUAGAUC